UACAGAGGGUGCGAGCGUUAAUCGGAAUUACUGGGCGUAAAGCGCGCGUAGGCGGCUUUGCAAGUCGGGUGUGAAAUCCCCAGGCUUAACCUGGGAACUGCAUUCGAGACUGCAUUGCUAGAGUAUGGGAGAGGGAAGUGGAAUUUCCGGUGUAGCGGUGAAAUGCGUAGAUAUCGGAAGGAACAUCAGUGGCGAAAGCGACUUCCUGGACCAAAACUGACGCUCAUGUGCGAAAGCGUGGGGAGCAAACAGG
rnacentral:rRNA from 1 species